CCUACGGGAGACAGCAGUGAGGAAUUUUGGUCAAUGGACGAGAGUCUGAACCAGCCAAGUAGCGUGAAGGAUGACUGCCCUAUGGGUUGUAAACUUCUUUUAUAUGGGAAUAAAAUGUUCCACGUGUGGGAUUUUGUAUGUACCAUAUGAAUAAGGAUCGGCUAACUACGUGCCAGCAGCCGCGGUAAUACGGAGGAUCCGAGCGUUAUCCGGAUUUAUUGGGUUUAAAGGGAGCGUAGGUGGAUUGUUAAGUCAGUUGUGAAAGUUUGCGGCUCAACCGUAAAAUUGCAGUUGAAACUGGCAGUCUUGAGUACAGUAGAGGUGGGCGGAAUUCGUGGUGUAGCGGUGAAAUGCUUAGAUAUCACGAAGAACUCCGAUUGCGAAGGCAGUUCACUGGACUGCAACUGACACUGAGGCUCGAAAGUGUGGGUAUCAAACAGGAUUAGAUACCCUUGUAGUC
rnacentral:rRNA from 1 species